UACGGAGGUGGCAAGCGUUAAUCGGAAUUACUGGGCGUAAAGCGUGCGCAGGCGGUGAUGUAAGACAGUUGUGAAAUCCCCGGGCUCAACCUGGGAACUGCAUCUGUGACUGCAUCGCUGGAGUGCGGCAGAGGGGGAUGGAAUUCCGCGUGUAGCAGUGAAAUGCGUAGAUAUGCGGAGGAACACCGAUGGCGAAGGCAAUCCCCUGGGCCUGCACUGACGCUCAUGCACGAAAGCGUGGGGAGCAAACAGG
rnacentral:rRNA from 1 species